GACGAACGCUGGCGGCGUGCUUAACACAUGCAAGUCGAGCGAUGAAGUCUCUUCGGGGACGGAUUAGCGGCGGACGGGUGAGUAACACGUGGGUAACCUGCCUCAUAGAGGGGAAUAGCCUUCCGAAAGGAAGAUUAAUACCGCAUAAGAUUGUAGUUUCGCAUGAAACAGCAAUUAAAGGAGUAAUCCGCUAUGAGAUGGACCCGCGUCGCAUUAGCUAGUUGGUGAGGUAACGGCUCACCAAGGCGACGAUGCGUAGCCGACCUGAGAGGGUGAUCGGCCACAUUGGGACUGAGACACGGCCCAGACUCCUACGGGAGGCAGCAGUGGGGAAUAUUGCACAAUGGGGGAAACCCUGAUGCAGCAACGCCGCGUGAGUGAUGACGGUCUUCGGAUUGUAAAACUCUGUCUUUGGGGACGAUAAUGACGGUACCCAAGGAGGAAGCCACGGCUAACUACGUGCCAGCAGCCGCCGUAA
rnacentral:rRNA from 1 species